UACAGAGACUGCAAGCGUUAUUCGGAUUCACUGGGCGUAAAGGGUGCGCAGGCGGCCGUGUGUGUGAGGCGUGAAAGCCCGGGGCUUAACCCCGGAAUUGCACCUCAAACUACAUGGCUAGAGCAUUGGAGAGGGUAGCAGAAUUCACGGUGUGGCAGUGAAAUGCGUAGAUAUCGUGAGGAAUACCAGAGGCGAAGGCGGCUACCUGGACAAUUGCUGACGCUCAGGCACGAAAGCGUGGGGAGCGAAG
rnacentral:rRNA from 1 species